rnacentral:lncRNA from 1 species
GACGGGAACUCCAGUUUGUGAAUUUUUAAGGUCUGGUAGAAAAGAGUCUAUCAGCACUUUCCCCAUUACAAGGAAAAUUAAGAAGCAAUGAAAAUCAAAUAAUAUAUCAAAAAUGUCAAAUCUCUCAGGAAUCAAUUUUCUUAAAUAAUCAUUAAAACAUUCUGUACUAGACAAUACACAUUUCCCAAAACUGAAACAUAAGGUGAUGUAAGUUUUAAGAACUGACUCUUUAGUUAAAACUAUAAUUUGAUCAAUAAUGGUCAUAUUAAUAAAAGGUAAGGUAAGCAAAUGCUGAGCAUUGCACCUAAUUUACACUUUCUUUUUUAGAGAAAAUAUUAAUUUAAACAUUCCGUCAAGUAUUUUUAAAGGAAACACUAGAGAUAAAUUGAAUUUUCACUCAAGUAUAUUAUUACAGGUUAGAGAUAACAGCAUUUGUGGAAUAAGUGAAUUUAAAUCUUUUUAUCAAUUUAUUUUAAAUUAAGAAAUCUGUACAUAGAUAAUUCAUGAAAACUCAUCUUUCUUUUCUGGCCUUUGAACAAAAAGGAAGAUAGGGAAUAAAAUCAUUUCAUUUUUAUAGUUACCAUAUUGAUCUUGAUAAAAGAUCAAUUGGGGGUUAUAUUUUAGCUAGAUUUAAAAUUAUAUACUUACUUAAAAAUACGAGAAAGAUACAGAGAGCUGGGGGGGAAAGUUACAAGCUAUAGAGAAGUAAGCUAAAGGACACCAAGAGGAAACAACAAGACAUGCCCUGUCUCCUGCCAAACAAAACAAACAUGCACAGGAAAGGUAAUGUCUAAUCAAAAAGUCAGUACCAGGGAAAAGGAGUGUGUGUGUCGGGACAGGGGUGGGAGUUGGGGAGAGCAGCAGUGUGCCAUGUUAGAUUUAAAAGACUUAAGGGGUUAUCAAAUGCAAAGAGUUAUUCUGGAUUGGACCUGGUUUGCAUAGAUUAACUGAAAAUAAUAUUCUUCAAAAAAACUGAAAAACCGUGAGCAUGAAUUAGACAAUAAGAAAAUCUACUGAUAUGGAGUUCCCGUCGUGGCUCAGCAAUAACAAACCCAACUAGUAUCCAAGAGGACGUGGGUUCAAUCCCUGACCUCACUCAGUGGGUUAAGGAUCGGGCACUUCCAUGAGCUAUAGUGUAAGUCACAGACACAGCCCAGAUCCUUCAUUGCUGUGGUUGUGGCAUAGGCCCAUCAGCUACAGCUCCAAUUUGACCCCUAGCCUGGGAACUUCCAUAUGCCACAGACUAGGGGUCUAAUUGGAGCUACAGCUGCCAGUCUACACCACAGCUCACAGCAACACGGGAUCAUUAACCCACUGAGUGAGGCCAGGGAUCGAACCCACAACCUCAUGGUUCCUGGUUGGAUUCGUUUCCACUGCAUCACCACGAGAACACCCCUUGCUGUGGUUUUAAUGUGCAUUUCUCUGAUAACAAUAUUAAUAACACUGAACAUGUCUACAAGUGCAACUGGCCAUUCAUAUAUCUUCUUUGGUACAGUGGUUUUUUUGGGGGAGAGUUUUGUCCUAUUUUUUAAAAAUUAAGCUGUCAUUUUUUUGGUUGUGUAAGUUCUCUGUGUAUAAAGGUACAAGUCCUUUUUGAAAUAUAUAUUUUGCAAAUAAAAAAAGAAAUCACUUUUAUAAAGUAAUAGGAACACUGUUAAGAACUUUGACACACUAUCUCCAUUACCAACAAGUAACAAAAUAACAAUGUAAAAAUAUACAAAUAUUUUUUAUUGGUCCUGUCGCAGUCCUAUACUUUCUUACUUUCAUUCCUCAAGAUAUUAUAUGACUCAGGCACAUUUUGCUUUCUAAAAAUAGUUCCACAUAUGCUCACAUCCCAAGUCACAGUCUAUUUCCUCUAUCAUUCCCCAAUUCUCAAGAAUGCAUGGUUCACAACAAGCAAGUAAUCCGGAAUGACUCAAGUUAUCAAAUAAAAAGAAUUUUGUUUGGAGCUCAAAAAAGUCAAUGGGAUUAAUAUCUUAUAAAUAGAGCCAAUAGAAACUCAUAAUAAAAUUCUGACAAUAAAAAAACAAUCCCAUGAAAAUUUCAAAUAAUACUCUAAAAGAUCACUAAGUUUUCAAUAAACUUUUAGUCUAGUAGCUUCUGAUCCUUAAGACUCAAUUUUAGGACUAUAAGGCACAAGACACAUAAAUCAACUUGCUGCCACUGAACACAAGAAGCAGAAGUAGGAGUCAAAGCACACAAGACAACAUUCAAAAAUCAGUGACUUAAUAAGCAAAAUGUCAGCAAACCAAACAGCAUAUUCGAUAGGAAAAUUAUUAACAGAUUAUUAACUCAAGGGCUAAGCCAUGUUAUAAACUGCCUGGAACUGCACUAAUAUGGUAGACACCAAUCACAUGUGUCUAUUUAAAUAUAAAUUUUAAAUAAUUAAAAUUUUAAAAUCACUUUCUCAGUUGCACUAGCUACACUUCAAGUGCUUAUUAGCCAUAUGUGACAAGGAUUUUAAAAACUUUCACCACUGCAGACAUUGUAACAUACAGGGCUGGCCAAGGGUAUUUGGCAGGAACAACUAAAGGGAGCCCUACUUAGCUAAAGUUUGUUUUUUUGCCUGUAAGGAAUUAGAGCAUUUUGGUUUAGCAUUUAAUUAUUUUUAUUGAAUAGUAAAAAAAAAAAAUUAUAUAUACAUAUAUAUGUAUAUAAAAGUAAGGUAAAGAUAAAUAAUGGAAUAUAAAUACUUUCCCUUGGGAGGUACCCACAAUACCGAAAUUAGCUUCAUCAUUUCCUUUCUUUUUAAAAUAGUUUUAGCAAACAUGUUUCCCUAAAAAUGUUUUGUCUCCUUAUUUUUAUUUUACUGGAAUCACACUUUUUCUUUACAUCACAUGUUCCUUUCACUAUUUCCACUGUGAAGUCAUUCUCAUCCACUGGCUACCUGAUAAACUACAGCAAGUUCAGUUUUGUUCAAAAAAGUUAGACCUAAACCAAUGAACUCAUCACCUAAGUAUUAAACCUAUGCAAGUCACCAACAAGGCUUAGGUCUCUAGCGAUUCCAUUUUAAAAAAAGGGGGGGGGGGGGGUUUCAUAUACAUUCAAGUGAUUAUAAACCAAAAUGAGAAUAACUUCCUUGUGCAUCAAAGGCAGAUCUUAGUCACUAUACAUACAUAUAUCUUUUUUUCUUUUUUCUUCAUUGUAGAGCACCAGAUAUCAAGGUGUGGUCCCCUGUGGUCAGAUUACAGGGGAACUUGUUAGAAAUGUAAAUCCUCUGCCCUAUCCCAAAACCACCUAAUCAAAGACACUGGGGAUGGGGUCAAGCAGUCCAUGUUUUAACAAGCCCUCUAGGAGGGUAUAUUCUAACAUUUAAGAACCUCUUGAAAAGUAUCUCAACAAACAAUAUACAUAAGAUGUUUCUAACAGUUAACUAAUAAACUCAAUUACCAAAAAUAGAUUAUCCUUUGUCCACUGGUCUGACUUUAGAAAUUUCAACUUACUCUAAAAUGCUACUUUCAAAACAACCUGAGUGGCCAAAAUAAACACAGAAAACAACAAAGCUACUAAUUUAACUUUAUAUAUGUACAUACAGCUCUCCCUCAUUCCC